UCUUUGCAGAUAUUGUCUUCUAUGUCUCUUUAUAUUCUGAAUAUUUAAAUUGAAGCAAACACAUCCCUCACCAUUUUGUUUCAUCUCCCUCUUCUAUCUUCACAUAUUCAUUUCCCUCUAAGCUUUUUAUCUUUCUCUCUACUCAAAUAAAUUCCCCAUUAUCUAUAUAUCUCUUCCCAUCACUCCCUUAUUUGAGGUUAUUCCAACACAUAAAAGAUACAAUAAGGGAGUAGAAUAAUAAUAAUAGUAGUAGUAAUAAUAAUAAUAAUAAUGGGAACUACUAAACUUGCCAAAUUACUUUUGCUAUUUUUCACCUUAUUAACACUUGCUACUCCUAAAGUCAUACAAGGUUAUACUCAUGUCUUUUUUUUUUCUUCUCUCAUUACUUCACUUCUUCUUCUUCUUCAUCUUCAAUUGUUAUAUUACUAAACUCAAUUCUAUCAUGUCUCACUUCUUUUACUUUCUUCUAUCUCUUAUAUAUGUUAUUCUUGCUUAUUGCUUUCCUUUAAUUUAAUUUCUUAGGAUUUUAAUAUAAACUUUGCAUUUAAUUCUUUGUCAUUAUUAUUUCACAAAGGGUUUAUGCUUGAAUAAUGCAACUUUUACAAUAAUAACAUUUGUUAAGAUGAAAAGUUAUUAAUUAAUUGUUUUAAAAAAAUGUUAACCUUUUUUUGAAUUUCCUAUUUUCUAUUAUUAUAUAUGUAAAUUAUUAUAAUAUUAUUAUUAUUUCNN
rnacentral:lncRNA from 1 species